AAAAUAAUUAAAAAAUUUUUUCCACUUGCAAGUAAUAUUUGCUACAGACUAUAAAUAGUACAUUGAUGCUACAAACUGUCCACACCAUACUACAGUCCUAAGGCUGGGCCGUCCUCUCUGCUAUAUCAUCACAUAGAAGGCAAACAGCCGCGCAAUGCUACUCUGCCGUCUUGAGACCCUGCCAAGACGUUUCAGAAGCAGCUAUCCCUAAUAGCAGAAUUGAAAGGUAUCUCUCUUAAACUAGUCUUUAUGGUUUUUGGCUCAAUUCUAUAGAUUAAAAACUUUUUAAAAAAUUAGUCUAAAAUUCUGGGAAUUACCAUUUUUGGACUAUCUGUAGUUUUUCAAAAGACAGGAAAAUGGCAGGGAGAAGCUAGAGUGUUAAGUUCAGUGAAAGCUCAUUUAAAAGCAAAUCACCAUCAAUGGAAAAGCUUUUCAAGUAUAAGAAAUUUGAAAAUAAUAGCUAUUAAGUGGAAGACAAAUCCAUUGUCAAAAGCCAGUAAGGAGUUCCAUCUGUCUUUUUCCACUACUAUGUUUCCUAAUAUUUUAAAUGAGGUAAGUAAGAAUCACAAGAAAGAUUCUAAAAAUUGUAGCAGGUUCUGCCCAGAUCCGACCCACCUAGUAUCUUAGACACUGAGAACCAAUUAUUGAAAAAGUAGGAACAACAUAGCAAGGAAACAGAGAAACUUUGGCAUAUGAAAAAUGAUGUAAUUUUGUUUUCUAAAAUUCACUUAUUCAGGCCAGUUUCUUGUGAUGUGUGCUCUGCACUGAUCAGACCCAGGUCCAAGGUAAAAGAUGGGGAACUGGCCGUCUUCCCGAGGAGCGCCGAAAGCACCCCUUCAACUGUCGAGAAGGCAAAGGCUCUCUGUGCCCACUGUUCUUCCCCCUCAGCCGCCUUGACUCCUGCUGUGUGUACAGCUUCUCCAGCCACAGUGGAUGGUGGGGCUCUGGGUGGGACAACUGAGGCAGCCUUACAGGAAUUCUUCCGUCUUUAGUGCUUCAGGGAAUUU
rnacentral:lncRNA from 1 species